rnacentral:ncRNA from 1 species
UGUUGUUGCAAUAUUAACCCUGUUCAGUACGAGGAACCACAAAUUCAGACCCCUGGUGCGUGUGUUUGGCUGAGGAGCCACUGGUGCAAGGCUACCAUCUGCGGGCUUAUGAAUGAAUGCCUCUAAAUCAGAAUCCCACCUAGAUGUAGCAAUACCGCAGCACCACCAGCACCUCCGUGGGCUCAUGUCAGAUGGCUGCGCGCCCCACACAGGGUGGGCCUGGUGCAAAGCACCACUCGUGGUUGGGACCGGAGGGGGGGGACAGAUGCGGCACUGCCUCUUCCCCAUUGCAUACCGCGUGAUCAUGGGGCACCCAGUGCUAAAUCAUUCGUAAAUGACCUGAUUCUGAGUCAGGAUUUCGUAUGUAGCAGAGCUGCUCCCUUGCUGUGAUCUGUUGAAAAUCAGACCUCUAAAAAAGUAAAAAUUU